UACGUAGGGUGCAAGCGUUAAUCGGAAUUACUGGGCGUAAAGCGUGCGCAGGCGGCUUUGCAAGACAGAUGUGAAAUCCCCGGGCUUAACCUGGGAACUGCAUUUGUGACUGCAUGGCUGGAGUGCGGCAGAGGGGGAUGGAAUUCCAGGUGUAGCGGUGAAAUGCGUAGAUAUCUGGAGGAACACCCGUGGCGAAGGCGGCUCUCUGGGACGGUACUGACGCUGAGACGCGAAAGCGUGGGGAGCGAACAGG
rnacentral:rRNA from 1 species